rnacentral:rRNA from 1 species
UUAAAUCCCCACUAGGGAUAAGGAGCUGGUAUCAGGCUCAAUUAUUAGCCCAAAACACCUAGCUAUGCCACACCCACAAGGGAAAUCAGCAGUGAUUAACAUUGGAUAUUAGUGACAACUUGAUCCAGUUAAAGUAAAAAGAGCCGGCAAAUCUGGUGCCAGCCGCCGCGGUUACACCACGUGGCUCAAAUUGACCUUUUUCGGCGUAAAGCGUGAUUUAAGGAACCUAAAAAUAUAGUUAAAUUAAAAUUAAGCUGUGACACGCUUAUUUACGAGAAAUACAAUAACGAAAGUUACUAUAACUAAAUUAACUUGAAUUCACAUCAGCUAGGGUACAAACUGGGAUUAGAUACCCCACUAUGCCUAACCGUAAACUUUAACUUACACUAAAAUCGCCAGGGAACUACGAGCAAAGCUUAAAACCCAAAGGACUUGACGGUACCCCAAAUCCACCUAGAGGAGCCUGUCCUAUAAUCGAUAAUCCCCGCUAAACCUCACCAUUUUUAGCCUCUUCAGCCUGUAUACCUCCGUCGUCAGCUUACCACGUGAGCGAAUUAUAGUGAGCUUAAUGUUAUUACACCAACACGUCAGGUCAAGGUGCAGCAAAUAAAAUGGAAAGAGAUGGGCUACACUCUCUAAAAUAGAAUAUACGAAAAACUAGCUAUGAAACCUAGUUUGAAGGCGGAUUUAGAAGUAAAAAG